ensembl:ncRNA lncRNA:CR45349 long non-coding RNA:CR45349
UUUUUUGCCAUUUUACUGGAUUUUCACCCACUUUGCCUUUGGCCUCGACAUGAUCUCGUCCGGCAAAGUGGCACACUUGGAGUCGUAGUUGCAGUUUUCCAACUGGGAAAUGCAAUUGCAGCAAAUUGGCCAGCAAAAAAAAAGGCAACAUGGCAAAAACAACCACAAUAAGCAACAAUGUACAACGAGGUCAGACUAGGGCGAUGGCGUCGAUGUCGAUGGGUCCAUGGGAUGCGAGUCGCCAGUUGUUGCUCCUCCUGGCCAUGUUCUCCCUAAUGUCAACUCAUAUUGUCCGCGGUGGGAGGAAGGCGGUGCUGGCGGUUUUGGCCUACUUGGCGGCCAAAAAGCAGACACACUGAGAAAAUAUUUCAUUGUGAUAUAAUUAUAUAUUUGAGGUAAAAUACUUGGUUACCCUUCGCUUG